GGGCCCGCACAAGCGGUGGAGCAUGUGGUUUAAUUCGAUGAUACGCGAGGAACCUUACCAGGGCUUAAAUGUAGUGGGACAGGUCUAGAGAUAGACCCUUCUUCGGACUCAUUACAAGGUGCUGCAUGGUUGUCGUCAGCUCGUGCCGUGAGGUGUCAGGUUAAGUCCUAUAACGAGCGCAACCCCUAUCGUUAGUUGCCAGCGGGUAAUGCCGGGAACUCUAGCGAAACUGCCGGUGCAAACCGAGAGGAAGGUGGGGAUGACGUCAAAUCAUCACGGCCCUUACGUCCUGGCUACACACGUGCUACAAUGGUCGGUACAGAGGGAAGCCACCCCGCGAGGGGGGAGCG
rnacentral:rRNA from 1 species